UUGAACGCUGGCGGCAGGCCUAACACAUGCCAGUCGAGCGGAUGAAGGGAGCUUGCUCCUGGAUUCAGCGGCGGACGGGUGAGUAAUGCCUAGGAAUCUGCCUGGUAGUGGGGGAUAACGUCCGGAAACGGGCGCUAAUACCGCAUACGUCCUGAGGGAGAAAGUGGGGGAUCUUCGGACCUCACGCUAUCAGAUGAGCCUAGGUCGGAUUAGCUAGUUGGUGGGGUAAAGGCCUACCAAGGCGACGAUCUGUAACUGGUCUGAGAGGAUGAUCAGUCACACUGGAACUGAGACACGGUCCAGACUCCUACGGGAGGCAGCAGUGGGGAAUAUUGGACAAUGGGCGAAAGCCUGAUCCAGCCAUGCCGCGUGUGUGAAGAAGGUCUUCGGAUUGUAAAGCACUUUAAGUUGGGAGGAAGGGCAGUAAGUUAAUACCUUGCUGUUUUGACGUUACCAACAGAAUAAGCACCGGCUAACUUCGUG
rnacentral:rRNA from 1 species